GGCUCGGUAGCAGAUGGUCCGCAUCUGCUUUCCAUUUCAAGUUGUCACCAGAGUAAUGCAGACACUGCCUGUUCGACUCGGGCCCGAGCCA